GAUGAACGCUGGCGGCGUGCCUAAUACAUGCAAGUAGAACGCUGAAGGAAGGAGCUUGCUCUUUCCGGAUGAGUUGCGAACGGGUGAGUAACGCGUAGGUAACCUGCCUGGUAGCGGGGGAUAACUAUUGGAAACGAUAGCUAAUACCGCAUAACAUUAGAUGUUGCAUGAUAUCUUCUUAAAAGGUGCAAUUGCACCACUACCACAUGGACUUGCGUUGUAUUAGCUAGUUGGUGAGGUAACGGCUCUCCAAGGCGAGGAUACAUAGCCGACCUGAGAGGGGGGUCGGCCACACUGGGACUGAGACACGGCCCAGACUCCUGCGGGAGGCAGCAGUAGGGAAUCGUCGGGAAUGGACGGAAGUCUGACCGAGCAAGGCCGCGUGAGUGAAGAAGGUUUUCGGGUCGGAAAGCUCGGUUGUAAGGGAAGAACGAGUGUGAGAGUGGAAAGUUCACGCUGUGACGGUAUCUUAUCAGAAAGGGACGGCUAACUACGUG
rnacentral:rRNA from 1 species